UAUUUCAGAGUGUAAUGGUCAGCACACUGAGCCGGUAUUUCAGAGGUCCGUGGUUCGAUUCCCGGCGAAGGAA
rnacentral:tRNA from 1 species